CUACGGGUGGCUGCAGUGGGGAAUAUUGGACAAUGGGGGAAACCCUGAUCCAGCAAUGCCGCGUGUGUGAAGAAGGCCUGCGGGUUGUAAAGCACUUUCGGUUGGGAGGACUGCUUCUAGCACUAAUAUUGUUGGAAGUUGACGUUACCUUCAGAAGAAGCACCGGCUAACUCCGUGCCAGCAGCCGCGGAAUACGGAGGGUGCAAGCGUUAAUCGGAAUUACUGGGCGUAAAGCGCGCGGAGGCGGCUAGAUCAGUCGGGUGUGAAAGCCCCGGGCUUAACCUGGGAACUGCAUCCGAUACUGGCUAGCUUGAGUACAGGAGAGGAGAGUGGAAUUCCACAUGUAGCGGUGAAAUGCGUAGAUAUGUGGAGGAGCACCAAUGGCGAAGGCAGCUCUCUGGCCUGAUACUGACGCUGAGGUGCGAAAGCGUGGGGAGCAAACAGGAUUAGAUACCCUCGUAGUC
rnacentral:rRNA from 1 species